CGGUAGUGUUGCUGAUGCCGGCAAGUUGUGUAGUCUGUACCUUGCUUCAGCUUGCAGAAGAGAAGGUUGAAAGUUGGAACCCACAGUUUACGAAGACUUGCUCUAAACCAGUGAUUCCCAACCUGUAGGCCACAGGUUGCGAGAACAAAAAUCCGGUCAGUGAACCUUCUUCCUUA
rnacentral:lncRNA from 11 species